rnacentral:lncRNA from 1 species
GGUUUGUGACCCCCUUAGCCGACCCUACUCCUCACUGGCCGGGACAACUGGUCUUAUCACGGAGGCUGGGGCCAGGCAGCCCUUCGGUUCGGGUGGGCCCAUGGACCCCAGUCCAACGCCGAGGGAAUAGGACCAUCCAAAAGCGGAACCUUCGCCUCAGAAAAAGGGUGCGGGACCCCUCCUCACCGUGCGGUCACGCGUGGACCCUGCCAGCAGCCAGGCCAUGGAGCUCUCUGAUGUCACCCUCAUUGAGGGUGUGGGUAAUGAGGCGACACAUCCGUCCUCCACCUGGGGCAUGUGGACCACCUGGUGGCAGGCCAAGGCAACCCCGAGCCAACUGAACUCCCCCAUCCAUCAGAGGACAAGCAGGUGCAGGCAGCAGCAGUCCAGAGGCCCCCCUGAGAUCUGAGGAUAGCACCUGCCUCCCUCCCAGCCCUGGCCUCAUCACUGUGCGGCUCAAAUUCCUCAAUGAUACCGAGGAGCUGGCUGUGGCUAGGCCAGAGGAUACCGUGGGUGCCCUGAAGAGCAAAUACUUCCCUGGACAAGAAAGCCAGAUGAAACUGAUCUACCAGGGCCGCCUGCUACAAGACCCAGCCCGCACACUGCGUUCUCUGAACAUUACCGACAACUGUGUGAUUCACUGCCACCGCUCACCCCCAGGGUCAGCUGUUCCAGGCCCCUCAGCCUCCUUGGCCCCCUCGGCCACUGAGCCACCCAGCCUUGGUGUCAAUGUGGGCAGCCUCAUGG